rnacentral:rRNA from 2 species
AACGGCCGCGGUAUUUUGACCGUGCAAAGGUAGCGCAAUCAAUUGUCUUUUAAAUGAAGACCCGUAUGAAUGGCAUAACGAGGGCCUGACUGUCUCCUUUUUCCAGUCAAUGAAAUUGAUCUUCCCGUGCAGAAGCGGGAAUAAUAACAUAAGACGAGAAGACCCUAUGGAGCUUAUAAACGCAAGAGCAGACCACAUAACUUACUCUUAAUUUGCUAGAUUUUAAACCAACUGGCCCCUGCUCCAAUGUUUUUGGUUGGGGCGACCAUGGGAUAAAACCAAACUCCCACGAAGAAUGAAAACAUAACAUUUUUCAAUUUAAGAACAACAGUUCUAAAAAACAGAACUUCUGACUUUUAUUGAUCCGGCUUAAGCCGAUUAACGAACCGAGUUACCCUAGGGAUAACAGCGCAAUCCUCUUUUAGAGUCCCUAUCGACAAGAGGGUUUACGACCUCGAUGUUGGACCAGGACAUCCUAAU